AGCGUUCUGUAAGCCGUUGAAGGUGGCCUGUGAGGGUUGCUGGAGGUAUCAGAAGUGCGAAUGCUGACAUAAGUAACGAUAAAGCGGGUGAAAAGCCCGCUCGCCGGAAGACCAAGGGUUCCUGUCCAACGUUAAUCGGGGCAGGGUGAGUCGACCCCUAAGGCGAGGCUGAAAAGCGUAGUCGAUGGGAAACAGGUUAAUAUUCCUGUACUUGGUGUUACUGCGAAGGGGGGACGGAGAAGGCUAGGCUAGCCGGGCGACGGUUGUCCCGGUUUAAGCGUGUAGGGGG
rnacentral:rRNA from 1 species